ACCUCGGGGGUUUCCUGCUUUAUGGCGAAGGUGAAAAUGGAGAGACUGGGAAGGAGUGUGUGUGCCCGCCUCUCCCACAGGAGGGAGCGUGGAGACCCAGGAGCGGCCUAGGACUGGAGGUACGACCCCCUUGACCCACCUUGAGGC
rnacentral:antisense_RNA from 1 species